rnacentral:rRNA from 1 species
AGUGAACGCUGGCGGUAGGCCUAACACAUGCAAGUCGAACGGCAGCACAGUAAGAGCUUGCUCUUACGGGUGGCGAGUGGCGGACGGGUGAGGAAUACAUCGGAAUCUACUUUUUCGUGGGGGAUAACGUAGGGAAACUUACGCUAAUACCGCAUACGACCUACGGGUGAAAGCAGGGGAUCUUCGGACCUUGCGCGAUUGAAUGAGCCGAUGUCGGAUUAGCUAGUUGGCGGGGUAACGGCCCACCAAGGCGACGAUCCGUAGCUGGUCUGAGAGGAUGAUCAGCCACACUGGAACUGAGACACGGUCCAGACUCCUACGGGAGGCAGCAGUGGGGAAUAUUGGACAAAGGGCGCAAGCCUGAUCCAGCCAUACCGCGUGGGUGAAGAAGGCCUUCGGGUUGUAAAGCCCUUUUGUUGGGAAAGAAAAGCAGCAGGUUAAUACCCCGCUGUUCUGACGGUACCCAAAGAAUAAGCAACGGCUAACUUCGUG